AUUGAACGCUGGCGGCAUGCCUUACACAUGCAAGUCGAACGGUAACAGGUCUUCGGAUGCUGACGAGUGGCGAACGGGUGAGUAAUACAUCGGAACGUGCCCGAUCGUGGGGGAUAACGAAGCGAAAGCUUUGCUAAUACCGCAUAAGAUCUACGGAUGAAAGCAGGGGACCGACAGGCCUUGCGCGAACGGAGCGGCCGAUGGCAGAUUAGGUAGUUGGUGUGAUAAAAGCUUACCAAGCCGACGAUCUGUAGCUGGUCUGAGAGGACGACCAGCCACACUGGGACUGAGACACGGCCCAGACUCCUACGGGAGGCAGCAGUGGGGAAUUUUGGACAAUGGGCGAAAGCCUGAUCCAGCCAUGCCGCGUGCAGGAUGAAGGCCUUCGGGUUGUAAACUGCUUUUGUACGGAACGAAAAGACUCUUUCUAAUAAAGAGGGUCCAUGACGGUACCGUAAGAAUAAGCACCGGCUAACUACGUGCCAGCCGCCGCAGUAA
rnacentral:rRNA from 1 species